rnacentral:rRNA from 1 species
GAUGAACGCUAGCGGCAGGCCUAAUACAUGCAAGUCGGACGGGAUCCAUCGGAGAGCUUGCUCGAAGAUGGUGAGAGUGGCGCACGGGUGCGUAACGCGUGAGCAACCUACCUCUAUCAGGGGGAUAGCCUCUCGAAAGAGAGAUUAACACCGCAUAACAUAAUUCUCCGGCAUCGGAGUAUUAUUAAAAUAUUUUAUAG